rnacentral:rRNA from 1 species
CCUACGGGAGGCAGCAGUGGGGAAUAUUGCACAAUGGGGGAAACCCUGAUGCAGCGACGCCGCGUGAGUGAAGAAGUAAUUCGUUAUGUAAAGCUCUAUCAGCAGGGAAGAAAAUGACGGUACGUGAGUAAGAAGCCACGGCUAACUACGUGCAAGCAGCCGCGGUAAUACGGAGGGGGCAAGCGUUAUCCGGAUUUACUGGGUGUAAAGGGAGCGUAGACGGCCGUGCAAGUCUGGAGUGAAAGGCGGGGGCUCAACCCCCGGACUGCUCUGGAAACUGUACGGCUUGAGUGCAGUAGAGGUAAGUGGAAUUCCUAGUGUAGCGGUGAAAUGCGUAGAUAUUAGGCGGAACACCAGUGGCGAAGGCGGCUUACUGGACUGUAACUGACGUUGAUGCUCGAAAGCGUGGGGAGCAAACAGGAUUAGAUACCCCUGUAGUC